GAACUUCAAUGGCGUCUGUGUCAGCAUGCCCACACCAGGCCACAACAAUGGCCGCAGCCAAUGUCCCAGUCCCUGGAGAGGUCUCACCCCUCACCGAGAUGCACUCAGGGCCUAUUAGGCAAAGCUGAAUCUACCUGAUGAACAACCAAACUGAAAUUACUGAUGUGAGGAAAUGACUCAUGGGAGAAACAAGUAAAUGGAAAACAAAAUAAAAUAAAGGAAAACACUGAGCUUAAACUGUUUGGAGAAAUGGAGAAGCUUUAUUCCUUCUACUUGGUUCAUGAUUGGAAGAGGCUUGGAGAAUGGCUAAACAGUUUCCCUAGGGUUGGCAGAAGCUAAAGGAGAAGCCUCUGGUCCAGGGGGCUGAAGCCUCUAGGCCGGGGGUAGAACCUCAAAGAAAAUCCUCCAGGCCAGGAGGCUUCCCCACUGAGAAGACCCAAACCAGAGGCCUCUUGCCAUUCUUGACAAUGAGUCUCUCAUGGGGUAAUCGCCCAGGGAAGAUGUGCAGGCUGGUCAAGUGGUCACCAUCUUCUUGAAGAUUUCCACAUGCUCACACAUCCAGGAAGUGACUCCCCGGGGAUUCACACAGAAGAGCUUACAUAGGCAGAGUAAGGCUUUAUUCAGAUUCUUCUCAAAGACUUGGAGGCUUCUAUGGCAUCCAGGUUAUCCCACUCACCACGGGAUGGUGUACGAACCUCUUAGAAGAUGAUACAACUGCUGUGCAUAUUUUGGAGAUUUAGGAAACACUCUAACUUCUUUUUUUGCGGAGGAAGAUCAGCCCUGAGCUAACAUCCGAUGCCAAUCCUCCUCUUUUUUUUUUUUUUUGCUGAGGCAGAUGGGCCCUGACCUAACAUCCGUGCCCUCUAACUUCAUUUUUGCCUGCUCACAAGUAUCUGCAGUCCUCCAGGAAUGAGGUUGAAAUAGUAACUUAGGGAGAAGAAGAUACAGGAGGCCUUCGGGCUUUCAGGCAAGCACGUUGCAUAAGAGUUUCACUCCCAGGUAAAUCUAACAGUAUUCUGAAGCCAAGCUCAGUCAACUUUCUCGUCUGGAUUUAGAGAAUCAGAGUCCUCCAUAAAACAAGGAUGCACAUAAAUUGAGGUCCUAGCUUAAAGUCCUAUUUCAAGUAGGCUACUGGGCUAACUGGAAUUCUUCUAUACUUGUUGGUGUAAGGGGGUGUUGCAAAAUCUUUCUAGCUAAUCACAUUUCUUGAACACAUUCAUUUUAUCAAUGAAAAUUAUUACUAACUUACCUUAUGCUAAUUAAUGGAUGUGCUAAGGGUAGAUUUUGAUGAAUUUGAAGCACUUGUAUAGCUACCACUGAAUGCAGAUUCUGAGUGAAGAUACUUCCAAAGAUAGGUAACCUUCCUCUCCCUCCCCAGUGUAAUUUAUAUGCCCUAUUUAUGUAUUUUAAAGUAAAGUGCCAGACUGACAAAAUUACAUUGGGUAUAUGACACACAGAAGACAUUCAGCCAAACUAACAAAGUUUAUUCUGAGGUAGGGCUUUGAUCCUAGACCACUCUCUAGUUUCCUGAUCUGGAUUAGUUGUCUUUUUCCCCAUUAGUUUAAGUACUUAAGUAGUUGCAGGCCUAAUGAUCUCUUUGACCC